CAUGUUGGCGGAAGCGGUGCCUUCUGUGCGGUGGAAACAUCGGGGCUGCACCCGCAGCGUCAGGGAGCGCAGCGUCCUACCUUUCCUCCUCGCUGGAGUGUUGGUGCUGAGAGGCGGCCGGCGGGGUGGAGAGAAGGAGGAUGAACCUGCCCAAGGGGCCGGACACGCUCUGCUUCGACAAGGACGAGUUCAUGAAGAGUCUCAGUUCAUCUGUCAGUGAAGGAAUUCAGGCAGUAGAUGAACGAAUGUGUAAACAAAAGGACAUAAGGAAGAAAAAGAUGUGUGUUUUGAGGCUUAUACAAGUUUUUUGAUCAGUUGAAAAGAUUGAAAAAAAUCUUAAAUUCACAAAGUUCUAAAGAAACCUCUGCACUAGAAGCAAGCAGCCCUCUCUGGACUAGACAGAUUUUGGAGAGAAUUGCCACAGAAUUUAACCAGUUACGGUUUCAUGCUGUUCAGAGCAAAGGCAUGACUCUUCUGGACAAAGUAAGACCACGUAUAGCUGGCAUUACGGCCAUGCUGCAGCAGUCCCUGGAAGGCUUGCUGCUAGAAGGGCUUCAGACUUCCAAUGUGGACAUCAUACGGCACUGCCUACAGACCUACGCUACAAUUGACAAGACACGGGAUGCAGAGGCGAUAGUCGGUCAAGUACUAGUGAAACCGUACAUGGAUGAGGUUUGUGCCCCCAUGCACCUCAUUCCGCAAACACAGAGCAUCUACUCUGGCUUCGAUUCUUGACUGGGUGUGAGAGAGCUCAGGGCUCUUCCUUGAAGAUGCUCCUAGUUCCUGCUCUUCUGGUUGUAAGAAAAGGUGAUUGUAGAAUAGAUCGUUGAGUCUCAUCCUGACCGCCUGAAGAUCAUGUAUGCUAAUAAGUUCCUGGAGUUCGUUCCUCACCACUGCCACCUUCUUCGAGAGGUCACAGGAGGAGCCAUCUCAAGGUGACGUAAACUGCUGUGCAUGCGCCUGAGCUCAGUUUAGUGACCACCUGUCACCUCCUCAUGCGCCGCUGAUCCCUGGCUGUCCUGUCUGACCCGGGAACGUGUAAUCUUCCCUAUUUGUUACCAGUGCUGUGAAGCAGGUGUCGCUUGCCUUCCUGAGUCGCUUAUGGCUUCUCAUCGCCCACAGAGGAGCAUCCAGUCUUCCUGGCGCAACCUGUGACCCUUGGUGCUUGAGUCCUAGUGGUUCUCCGCUGUAGAAGUUUCUACUGUGGAACUUUCCCCUAUACCACUAUGGUUCCUGGCCAGACAGGAGCGCUUGACCUUCCCUAACACACCUGGUACAGAAGAUCCCUGACUUCACAUUGGUUCAGUUUAUGGUUUUUUGACUUUUUAUAAUAGUGCAGAAGUGAUAUGCAUUUAGUUUGGAUCUUUUCCUGGGCUGGUGAUCUACAGUAGGGUCCUCUUUUGUAAUGCUGGGCAGGGGCAGCGAGCACAGCCCCCAGGCAAACCACGUGGUCACGAGGGUCAGCAACCAACACACUUGAACCGUCCUCUUCUGGCUUUCAGUGCAGUGUUCGGUAAACUACACGAGAUACCAGACACUUUAUUGUGAAAUAGGCUUUGUGUUAGAGGAUUUUGCCCAACUGUGCAAUACUGUAAGUGUUCUCAACACAUUUAAGGUUGGCGGGUCUAAGCUCCGAUGUUCAGUCGCUUUGGUGUUUUCCAUGCAUUUUCAACUAAAGAGAUUUCCAGCUGAACAAUGGGUUUAUUAGGAGCCGAAGCCGUCAUAAGCCGAGGAACAUGUCUGUACUGUGUGCCUCUGUGUUUUCCUUCAUUGCUUCCUGACUGUCUCAUAUCCCUUUGUCUUUCUGUUGAUCUGUCACUCCACAUGAAGCUCUAGUCAAAUACAACUUCUUUUUUUUAGGUUAUUUAUUUAUUUACUUAUUAGAGAAAGCAU